GGGUUGUGAGGUUAAGCGACUAAGCGUACACGGUGGAUGCCCUGGCAGUCAGAGGCGAUGAAGGACGUGCUAAUCUGCGAUAAGCGUCGGUAAGGUGAUAUGAACCGUUAUAACCGGCGAUUUCCGAAUGGGGAAACCCAGUGUGAUUCGUCACACUAUCAUUAACUGAAUCCAUAGGUUAAUGAGGCGAACCGGGGGAACUGAAACAUCUAAGUACCCCGAGGAAAAGAAAUCAACCGAGAUUCCCCCAGUAGCGGCGAGCGAACGGGGAGCAGCCCAGAGCCUGAAUCAGUGUGUGUGUUAGUGGAAGCGUCUGGAAAGGCGCGCGAUACAGGGUGACAGCCCCGUACACAAAAAUGCACAUGCUGUGAGCUCGAUGAGUAGGGCGGGACACGUGGUAUCCUGUCUGAAUAUGGGGGGACCAUCCUCCAAGGCUAAAUACUCCUGACUGACCGAUAGUGAACCAGUACCGUGAGGGAAAGGCGAAAAGAACCCCGGCGAGGGGAGUGAAAAAGAACCUGAAACCGUGUACGUACAAGCAGUGGGAGCACAGAGCAAUCUGUGUGACUGCGUACCUUUUGUAUAAUGGGUCAGCGACUUAUAUUCUGUAGCAAGGUUAACCGAAUAGGGGAGCCGAAGGGAAACCGAGUCUUAACUGGGCGUUAAGUUGCAGGGUAUAGACCCGAAACCCGGUGAUCUAGCCAUGGGCAGGUUGAAGGUUGGGUAACACUAACUGGAGGACCGAACCGACUAAUGUUGAAAAAUUAGCGGAUGACUUGUGGCUGGGGGUGAAAGGCCAAUCAAACCGGGAGAUAGCUGGUUCUCCCCGAAAGCUAUUUAGGUAGCGCCUCGUGAAUUCAUCUCCGGGGGUAGAGCACUGUUUCGGCAAGGGGGUCAUCCCGACUUACCAACCCGAUGCAAACUGCGAAUACCGGAGAAUGUUAUCACGGGAGACACACGGCGGGUGCUAACGUCCGUCGUGAAGAGGGAAACAACCCAGACCGCCAGCUAAGGUCCCAAAGUCAUGGUUAAGUGGGAAACGAUGUGGGAAGGCCCAGACAGCCAGGAUGUUGGCUUAGAAGCAGCCAUCAUUUAAAGAAAGCGUAAUAGCUCACUGGUCGAGUCGGCCUGCGCGGAAGAUGUAACGGGGCUAAACCAUGCACCGAAGCUGCGGCAGCGACGCUGAUGCGUUGUUGGGUAGGGGAGCGUUCUGUAAGCCUGUGAAGGUGUGCUGUGAGGCAUGCUGGAGGUAUCAGAAGUGCGAAUGCUGACAUAAGUAACGAUAAAGCGGGUGAAAAGCCCGCUCGCCGGAAGACCAAGGGUUCCUGUCCAACGUUAAUCGGGGCAGGGUGAGUCGACCCCUAAGGCGAGGCCGAAAGGCGUAGUCGAUGGGAAACAGGUUAAUAUUCCUGUACUUGGUGUUACUGCGAAGGGGGGACGGAGAAGGCUAUGUUGGCCGGGCGACGGUUGUCCCGGUUUAAGCGUGUAGGCUGGUUUUCCAGGCAAAUCCGGAAAAUCAAGGCUGAGGCGUGAUGACGAGGCACUACGGUGCUGAAGCAACAAAUGCCCUGCUUCCAGGAAAAGCCUCUAAGCAUCAGGUAACAUCAAAUCGUACCCCAAACCGACACAGGUGGUCAGGUAGAGAAUACCAAGGCGCUUGAGAGAACUCGGGUGAAGGAACUAGGCAAAAUGGUGCCGUAACUUCGGGAGAAGGCACGCUGAUAUGUAGGUGAAGUCCCUCGCGGAUGGAGCUGAAAUCAGUCGAAGAUACCAGCUGGCUGCAACUGUUUAUUAAAAACACAGCACUGUGCAAACACGAAAGUGGACGUAUACGGUGUGACGCCUGCCCGGUGCCGGAAGGUUAAUUGAUGGGGUUAGCGCAAGCGAAGCUCUUGAUCGAAGCCCCGGUAAACGGCGGCCGUAACUAUAACGGUCCUAAGGUAGCGAAAUUCCUUGUCGGGUAAGUUCCGACCUGCACGAAUGGCGUAAUGAUGGCCAGGCUGUCUCCACCCGAGACUCAGUGAAAUUGAACUCGCUGUGAAGAUGCAGUGUACCCGCGGCAAGACGGAAAGACCCCGUGAACCUUUACUAUAGCUUGACACUGAACAUUGAGCCUUGAUGUGUAGGAUAGGUGGGAGGCUUUGAAGUGUGGACGCCAGUCUGCAUGGAGCCGACCUUGAAAUACCACCCUUUAAUGUUUGAUGUUCUAACGUUGACCCGUGAUCCGGGUUGCGGACAGUGUCUGGUGGGUAGUUUGACUGGGGCGGUCUCCUCCUAAAGAGUAACGGAGGAGCACGAAGGUUGGCUAAUCCUGGUCGGACAUCAGGAGGUUAGUGCAAUGGCAUAAGCCAGCUUGACUGCGAGCGUGACGGCGCGAGCAGGUGCGAAAGCAGGUCAUAGUGAUCCGGUGGUUCUGAAUGGAAGGGCCAUCGCUCAACGGAUAAAAGGUACUCCGGGGAUAACAGGCUGAUACCGCCCAAGAGUUCAUAUCGACGGCGGUGUUUGGCACCUCGAUGUCGGCUCAUCACAUCCUGGGGCUGAAGUAGGUCCCAAGGGUAUGGCUGUUCGCCAUUUAAAGUGGUACGCGAGCUGGGUUUAGAACGUCGUGAGACAGUUCGGUCCCUAUCUGCCGUGGGCGCUGGAGAACUGAGGGGGGCUGCUCCUAGUACGAGAGGACCGGAGUGGACGCAUCACUGGUGUUCGGGUUGUCAUGCCAAUGGCACUGCCCGGUAGCUAAAUGCGGAAGAGAUAAGUGCUGAAAGCAUCUAAGCACGAAACUUGCCCCGAGAUGAGUUCUCCCUGACUCCUUGAGAGUCCUGAAGGAACGUUGAAGACGACGACGUUGAUAGGCCGGGUGUGUAAGCGCAGCGAUGCGUUGAGCUAACCGGUACUAAUGAACCGUGAGGCUUAACCUUACAACGCCGAAGCUGUU
rnacentral:rRNA from 1 species